rnacentral:rRNA from 1 species
AGUGGCGAACGGGUGAGUAACGCGUGGGUAACCUACCCUAUGGAAAGGAAUAGCCUCGGGAAACUGGGAGUAAUGCCUUAUAAGAUAUAUUUGUCGCAUGGCAGAUGUAUUAAACGCUCCGGUGCCAUAGGAUGGACCCGCGUCCCAUUAGCUAGUUGGUGAGAUAACAGCUCACCAAGGCGACGAUGGGUAACCGGUCUGAGAGGGCGAACGGUCACACUGGAACUGAGACACGGUCCAGACUCCUACGGGAGGCAGCAGUGGGGAAUAUUGCGCAAUGGGGGAAACCCUGACGCAGCAAUACCGCGUGAGUGAAGAAGGUUUUCGGAUCGUAAAGCUCUGUUAUUGGGGAAGAAAAAAAGACGGUACCCAAGAAGAAAGUCCCGGCUAACUACGUGCCAGCAGCCGCGGUAAUACGUAGGGGACAAGCGUUGUCCGGAUUUACUGGGCGUAAAGGGCACGCAGGCGGUUUUUUAAGUCAGAUGUGAAAGGUACCGGCUCAACCGGUGACAUGCAUUUGAAACUGAAAGACUUGAGUAUUGGAGAGGCAAGUGGAAUUCCUAGUGUAGCGGUGAAAUGCGUAGAUAUUAGGAGGAACACCGGUGGCGAAAGCGGCUUGCUGGACAAAUACUGACGCUGAGGUGCGAAAGCGUGGGGAGCAAACA